rnacentral:rRNA from 1 species
UGGGGAAUUUUGGACAAUGGGCGCAAGCCUGAUCCAGCAAUGCCGCGUGAGUGAAGAAGGCCUUCGGGUUGUAAAGCUCUUUUGUCAGGGAAGAAACGGGCCGGGCUAAUAUCCUGGUCUAAUGACGGUACCUGAAGAAUAAGCACCGGCUAACUACGUGCCAGCAGCCGCGGUAAUACGUAGGGUGCAAGCGUUAAUCGGAAUUACUGGGCGUAAAGCGUGCGCAGGCGGUUGUGCAAGACCGAUGUGAAAUCCCCGGGCUUAACCUGGGAAUGGCAUUGGUGACUGCACGGCUAGAGUGUGUCAGAGGGGGGUAGAAUUCCACGUGUAGCAGUGAAAUGCGUAGAGAUGUGGAGGAAUACCGAUGGCGAAGGCAGCCCCCUGGGAUAACACUGACGCUCAUGCACGAAAGCGUGGGGAGCAAACA